rnacentral:rRNA from 1 species
GUGCCAGCCGCCGCGGUAAUACGUAGGUGGCAAGCGUUGUCCGGAAUUAUUGGGCGUAAAGGGCUCGCAGGCGGUCUCUUAAGUCUGAUGUGAAAGCCCCCGGCUCAACCGGGGAGGGUCAUUGGAAACUGGGGAACUUGAGUGCAGAAGAGGAGAGUGGAAUUCCACGUGUAGCGGUGAAAUGCGUAGAGAUGUGGAGGAACACCAGUGGCGAAGGCGACUCUCUGGUCUGUAACUGACGCUGAGGAGCGAAAGCGUGGGGAGCAAACAGGAUUAGAUACCCUCGUAGUCC